rnacentral:rRNA from 1 species
GAUCCUGGCUCAGGAUGAACGCUGGCGGCGUGCCUAACACAUGCAAGUCGAGCGAAGCACUUUGCUUAGAUUCUUCGGAUGAAGAGGAUUGUGACUGAGCGGGCGGACGGGUGAGUAACGCGUGGGUAACCUGCCUCAUACAGGGGGAUAACAGUUAGAAAUGACUGCUAAUACCGCAUAAGACCACAGCACCGCAUGGUGCGGGGGGUAAAAAACUCCGGUGGUAUGAGAUGGACCCGCG